rnacentral:sRNA from 1 species
AGAAGUCUCACCAAGAGCCCAGCACACUCACAUCAGAACUAACCUCCUGGGAUCUGCUCACACCUCCGGCACUAACCUCGCCCACUCGGAGAUGUCAGUGGGACCCCUUGCUUCUUUGUUUCAGAACAAGAGCCCCAAGGCCCGGGACAGCCAGGGGGAGGAGCUGGAGGUGCUCCUGGAGGAGGAGGCAGCCGGCGGCGAUGAGGACCGGGAAAAGGAGAUUCUCAUUGAACGGAUCCAGUCCAUCAAGGAGGAGAAGCAAGACAUCACCUACCGGCUGCCAGAGCUGGACCCAAGGGGCUCGGACGAGGAGAACCUGGACUCGGAGACGUCGGCCAGCACCGAGAGCCUGCUGGAGGAGCGGGCCGGGCGGGGGGCCUCGGAAGGGCCCCCUGCGCCUGCUCUCCCUUGCCCCGGCGCGCCCGCCCCGAG